CAGGCCUAACACAUGCAAGUCGAACGGUGGCAGCAAUGUCAUAGUGGCGCACGGGUGCGUAACACGUAACUAACCUACCCACCAUUGGGGGAUAGCCCGCCGAAAGGCGGAUUAAUACCGCAUAACACUAUAAACCGGCAUCGGUUAGUAGUUAAAGAUUUAUUGAUGGUGGAUGGGGUUGCGGGUCAUUAGCUAGUUGGUUGGGUAACGGCUGACCAAGGCGACGAUGACUAGGGGAGUUGAGAGGCUGGUCCCCCACACGGGCACUGAGAUACGGGCCCGACUCCUACGGGAGGCAGCAGUAGGGAAUAUUGGGCAAUGGGCGAGAGCCUGACCCAGCCAUGCCGCGUGCAGGAAGAAGGCUUUCUGAGUCGUAAACUGCUUUUGACAGGGAAGAAUAAGCACUACGUGUAGUGUGAUGACGGUACCUGCAGAAUAAGCACCGGCUAACUCCGUGCCAGCAGCCGCGGUAAU
rnacentral:rRNA from 1 species